rnacentral:rRNA from 1 species
UUGCCCUACGGGGGGCAGCAGUGGGGAAUAUUGCACAAUGGGGGGAACCCUGAUGCAGCGACGCCGCGUGGGUGAAGGAGUAUUUCGGUAUGUAAAGCCCUAUCAGCAGGGAAGAACAAUGACGGUACCUGACUAAGAAGCACCGGCUAAAUACGUGCCAGCAGCCGCGGUAAUACGUAUGGAGCGAGCGUUGUCCGGAUUUACUGGGUGUAAAGGGUGCGUAGGCGGCCCUGCAAGUCAGAAGUGAAAUCCAUGGGCUUAACCCGUGAACUGCUUUUGAAACUACAGGACUUGAGUGGAGUAGG